rnacentral:rRNA from 1 species
UUAAGACAGCAGGACGGUGGCCAUGGAAGUCGGAAGCCGCUAAGGAGUGUGUAACAACUCACCUGCCGAAGCAACUAGCCCUGAAAAUGGAUGGCGCUAAAGCUCCGUGCCUAUACCCGGCCGCCGGUAGGCAUAGGCGUGAGCCGCUCUUCUGGGGCGGCGAGCGCGCGAAGCCCCGGCGAGUAGGAGGGCGCGGCGGUGUGCGCGGAAGGGUCUGGGCGUGAGCCUGCCUGGAGCCGCCGCCGGUGCAGAUCUUGGUGGUAGUAGCAAAUACUCAAGCGAGGGCCUUGAGGGCUGAUGUGGAGAAGGGUUUCGUGUGAACAGCCGUUGCACACGAGUCAGUCGAUCCUAAGCCCUAGGAGAAAUCCGAUGUCGAUGCGGGGGGACGUUUCUCACGUGCUCCCCCUCGAUGGGCGAAAGGGAAUCCGGUUCCUAUUCCGGAACCCGGCAGCGGAACCGAAUCUACGGGCCCUCGUCAGAGAAGCUCGUCGGGGUAACCCAAAGGGACCCGGAGACGCCGUCGGGAGACCCGGGCAGAGUUUUCUGUUCUGCAUAAGCGUUCGAGUUCCCUGGAAUCCUCUAGCAGGGAGAUAGGGUUUGGAACGCGAAGAGCACCGCAGUUGCGGCGGUGUCCGGGUCGUCCCCUCGGACCUUGAAAAUCCGGGAGAGGGUCACGCGGAGGUGUCGCGCCGGCUCGUACCCAUAUCCGCAGCAGGUCUCCAAGGUGAAGAGCCUCUA